GACGAACGCUGGCGGCGCGCCUAACACAUGCAAGUCGAACGAGCGAGAGAGAGCUUGCUUUCUCGAGCGAGUGGCGAACGGGUGAGUAACGCGUGAGGAACCUGCCUCAAAGAGGGGGACAACAGUUGGAAACGACUGCUAAUACCGCAUAUGCCCACGACCCGGCAUCGGGUAGAGGGAAAAUGAGCAAUCCGCUUUGAGAUGGCCUCGCGUCCGAUUAUCUAUUUGGUGAGGUAACGGCCCACCAAGGCGACGAUCGGUAGCCGGACUGAGAGGUUGAACCGCCACCCUGGGACUGAGACCCGGCCCAGACUCUUACUGGAGGCAGCAGUGGGGAAUAUUGCACAAUGGGGGAAACCCUGAUGCAGCGACGCCGCAUGGAGGAAGAAGGUCUUCGGAUUGUAAACUCCUGUUGUUGAGGAAGAUAAUGACGGUACUCAACAAGGAAGUGACGGCUAACUACGUG
rnacentral:rRNA from 1 species